rnacentral:misc_RNA from 1 species
GUGUGUCAGAGUAUUUAGCAAUCUGCAUAAUACCAUAUCAGGUCUGUUACUUGACUCGAUAUGCAACCUAGGUCCGUAAUAGAAGAAAAGACUCACAUAAGGGAAAAAAAGCACUAGAAUCUCUCUUUUGGACUAGAGCUUACAGUCAACUCUAUCAAGAUGGAUUGUGGAACUAUAGAUAGUUUAAGAAGAUGACAAUAAUUAGCACAUAUUUUUUUCCUAAAGAUUGGGAAAUAACUCAGUAAUUGUGAACUUAAUUACAAAUGAAAGAUAUCCUGUUCUUAUGCCCAAGAAGUACUCUGUCCACUAAAAAAAACUUUCCAGAUGAUUGAGAAAAAAAAAAAUCAUAUAAUGAGCCUUGGCCAAAAGGAAGAACGAAUUGUCUUCUAACAUUCUUAUCAGGACUAACGCAACAGGAAUAACUACAUAGAACAUCGAAUGUUGUAGUAUGUGUCAUCUCUUGCCCUCAUUAGGAUAUCUAUUUGCUAUAAACAUGCAGGCAGAAGUAAACAAUCAAAGGACGAGAUCAAAAGCAGAAAUGCAUUUGAAACUGACUCCACAAAUUUCUCAUCUCCAUUGUAGAAUGCGCAUGUAUGCUAAAAGGAUAUUAGAAUUUUAAGAUCAAGUCAGAAGAAUUAAUUUAAUUUAGUGAUUUUCUAGAAAAAAAAAAUCUUAAAUCCAAUACUUUUCGAUGCUAAUUGAACAUAAUCACAACUUACAAAAGCCAUGCAAGGAAUUUCUCAAACUAAGUGUGAACAGUAAACAUAAACUCACCCUUGAGAGUACAAACUUGAGAUG